GCACUUUCAGUGUCCGAGUUGUAAUUUGAAGAAGGUAUCUUUGGGUCUGGCUCUUGUCUAUGUUUCUUGGAACAGAACGUCACAGAGGGUGAGAAUCCCGUGCGAUGAGAUGUCCCAGACCUAUGUAAAGUUCCUUCGAAGAGUCGAGUUGUUUGGGAAUGCAGCUCUAAGUGGGUGGUAAAUUCCAUCUAAAGCUAAAUAUUGGCGAGAGACCGAUAGCGAACAAGUACAGUGAUGGAAAGAUGAAAAGAACUUUGAAAAGAGAGUGAAAAAGUACGUGAAAUUGUUGAAAGGGAAGGGCUUGAGAUCAGACUUGGUAUUUUGUAUGUUACUCUCUCGGGGGUGGCCUCUACAGUUUACCGGGCCAGCAUCAGUUUGAGCGGUAGGAUAAGUGCAAAGAAAUGUGGCACUGCUUCGGUAGUGUGUUAUAGUCUUUGUCGAUACUGCCAGCUUAGACUGAGGACUGCGGCUUCGGCCUAGGAUGUUGGCAUAAUGAUCUUAAGUCGCC
rnacentral:rRNA from 1 species